GGAGAAAUCCGGCCUAAUACCGCAUGUGGCCGAGGGGAGGCAUCUUCUUUCGGCCAAAGGAGGCGACUCCGGAGACGGAUGGGCAUGCGUGACAUUAGCUUGUUGGCGGGGUAACGGCCCACCAAGGCGACGAUGUCUAGGGGUUCUGAGAGGAAGGUCCCCCACACUGGUACUGAGACACGGACCAGACUCCUACGGGAGGCAGCAGUGAGGAAUAUUGGUCAAUGGGCGAGAGCCUGAACCAGCCAAGUCGCGUGAAGGAUGACGGCCCUACGGGUUGUAAACUUCUUUUGUCAGGGAGCAAUUGGGUCCACGUGUGGGCUUAGCGAGAGUACCUGAAGAAAAAGCAUCGGCUAACUCCGUGCCAGCAGCCGCGGUAAUACGGAGGAUGCGAGCGUUAUCCGGAUUUAUUGGGUUUAAAGGGUGCGUAGGCGGAAUAUCAAGUCAGCGGUAAAAAUUCGGGGCUCAACCCCGUCGUGCCGUUGAAACUGAUGUUCUUGAGUGGGCGAGAAGUAUGCGGAAUGCGUGGUGUAGCGGUGAAAUGCAUAGAUAUCACGCAGAACUCCGAUUGCGAAGGCAGCAUACCGGCGCCCAACUGACGCUGAAGCACGAAAGCGUGGGUAUCGAACAGGAUUAGAUACCCUGGUAGUCCACGCAGUAAAC
rnacentral:rRNA from 1 species